rnacentral:rRNA from 1 species
UACGUAGGUGGCAAGCGUUAUCCGGAUUUAUUGGGUGUAAAGGGCGUGUAGGCGGGAGCGCAGGUCAGAUGUGAAAACUCAGGGCUCAACCCUGAGCCUGCAUUUGAAACUGUGUUUCUUGAGUGCUGGAGAGGCAAUCGGAAUUCCGUGUGUAGCGGUGAAAUGCGUAGAUAUACGGAGGAACACCAGUGGCGAAGGCGGAUUGCUGGACAGUAACUGACGCUGAGGCGCGAAAGCGUGGGGAGCAAACAGG